CAAAGCCUAAAAAUCUCAUAUUUCAAAAACAGAGAACAAAAAUAAGCAGCAGUUCAUAUUAAAUUUCCGCCCCUACUUGAGUGUCCUUUUGUGCGGGUUUAAAAUGCCCAACAAUAGUCCUGGAGGAGUGGGAGUCCCGGGUCGCAUAGGAUCGAGAGCAGAGGAAGCUUGUAUGUACGUAUAUGGAAGUAUGCUGCGGGGUCCAUUAACAGUUGGCUAACAUCAACAAAAUUUGAAAUCCAAAGCGUGACAAAUUCGUAGAAACCAGAACCACUCGGAGGCGGGCAGAAAAAAAUAAUAAAGCUUCAGAGCGGAAGAAUUGCCAGGGCAGCAGAAAAAAAAGUCACCCGCUCCCCCUUUUUCCGGAGUUUUCCAGAGAUUCUUUGGCUCUUGGUCUGUUUCAAAGCUCAGCGUAUUUCUCUUAUCUGCCCCAAAUGAAAACCAAGCAGCAAAUAAUAAAACUAAUAAUAUCGUUUGGGGGAACGGA